GGUGGGAUGGCCGAGCGGUUUAAGGCAGCGGUCUUGAAAACCGCCAGGGUGAAAGCCCUCCAGGGUUCGAAUCCCUGUCCCACCGCCA
rnacentral:tRNA from 1 species